GACGAACGCUGGCGGCGUGCUUAACACAUGCAAGUCGAACGGAAGGGCCCUGCUCUUGUGGGGUGCUCGAGUGGCGAACGGGUGAGUAACACGCGUGUAUCCCGCCCUUGACUUUGGGAUAACUUCAGGAAACUGGGGCUAAUACCGGAUAGGAUCUCUUGCUGCGUGGUGGGGGUUGGAAAGUUUCGGCGGUUGGGGAUGGACUCGCGGGUUAUCAGCUUGUUGGUGGGGUAGUGGCUUACGAAGGGUUUGACGGGUAGCCGGCCUGGGAGGGGGACCGGCGACAUUGGGACUGAGAUACGGACCAGACGCGUACGGGAGGCAGCGGUGGAGAAUAUGGCGGAGUGGGGGGGAGCGUGAUGCAGCGGCGCCGCGUGCGGGAUGACGGCCUUCGGGUGGAGAACCGCUGUCGCCUGUGACGAGGCGGGAGUGACGGUAAUGGGUAAGGAAGCACCGGCUAACUACGUG
rnacentral:rRNA from 1 species